UACGUAGGGAGCGAGCGUUGUCCGGAAUUACUGGGCGUAAAGGGCGCGUAGGCGGGAACUCAAGUCAGGUGUGAAAACUAUGGGCUUAACCCAUAGACUGCACUUGAAACUGGGUUUCUUGAGGGCAGGAGAGGAAAGUGGAAUUCCUAGUGUAGCGGUGAAAUGCGUAGAUAUUAGGAGGAACACCAGUGGCGAAGGCGACUUUCUGGACUGUACCUGACGCUGAGGCGCGAAAGCGUGGGGAGCGAACAGG
rnacentral:rRNA from 2 species